AAAUGGAGUGAAGCGCGUUUUGUGGCUAGGACUCCGACCGUGAGUUGUGUGUGUGUUCACAUCACAGUCAGAGUUCUAGCUAUACGGCGUGGAACAAACCAC
rnacentral:pre_miRNA from 1 species